rnacentral:tRNA from 1 species
GCGGGAAUAGCUCAGUUGGUAGAGCGCAACCUUGCCAAGGUUGAGGUCGCGAGUUUCAGCU